rnacentral:ncRNA from 1 species
ACAAAUGCUUUGAUGGAGAAAAGUAAUUCAAUGCCUUCUUACAGGGAGGGAACGCCGAAGACUGAGAGCGUUUCUGGGGAUAAGGAUUGAAUGAAGUUCACUCCGGAGCAGUCCCUUGAAACCAAUUUUUGGUGAGUAGAGGUGUACCGGUUUUUUACCGUUAUUUGUUUAAGUGAGAGCAUUUCUUUUAUCGGAAUGUUCUAAUAUAGGGUGGUACCGCGGCUCCUCGUCCCUUUC